rnacentral:rRNA from 1 species
CAGAGAUGCUUUGGUGCCUUCGGGAACUCUGAGACAGGUGCUGCAUGGCUGUCGUCAGCUCGUGUUGUGAAAUGUUGGGUUAAGUCCCGCAACGAGCGCAACCCUUAUCCUUUGUUGCCAGCGGUUCGGCCGGGAACUCAAAGGAGACUGCCAGUGAUAAACUGGAGGAAGGUGGGGAUGACGUCAAGUCAUCAUGGCCCUUACGAGUAGGGCUACACACGUGCUACAAUGGCGCAUACAAAGAGAAGCGACCUCGCGAGAGCAAGCGGACCUCAUAAAGUGCGUCGUAGUCCGGAUUGGAGUCUGCAACUCGACUCCAUGAAGUCGGAAUCGCUAGUAAUCGUAGAUCAGAAUGCUACGGUGAAUACGUUCCCGGGUCUU